AAUUUCAGCUGAAAAAGUUAUCAACAUAAAAGUUGUAGAGCUCAUCAAGACAUACAACUUUUAUUUUGGUCAUUUCUUCAUCCGAUAAAGUGAUAGUAAUAUUGUUCACAAAGUUUACAUAUCUCUCUUAUAGUUUAUAGAACCAGGUGAGACAGAUGUAAAUUUUGUAAACAAUGUUACUAUCACUUUGUCGGAUGAAGAAACGACCUAGAUAAAAGUUAUAGAUCUUGAUGAGUUAUACAACUUUGUUGUUGAUGACUUUUUCAAUUGAAAUC
rfam:Oryza nivara chromosome 10, whole genome shotgun sequence.